rnacentral:rRNA from 1 species
UAGGGAAUAUUGGUAAUCUGGGAAACCGGGAACCAGCAACGCCGCGUGCGCGAUGAAGGCCUUCGGGUCGUAAAGCGCUUUUUGAAGGGAUGAGGAAGGACAGUACCUUCAGAAUAAGCCUCGGCUAACUACGUGCCAGCAGCCGCGGUAAAACGUAGGAGGCGAGCGUUAUCCGGAUUUACUGGGCGUAAAGCGUGUGUAGGCGGUUUGAUAAGUUGGAUGUGAAAGCUCCCGGCUCAACUGGGAGAGGUCGUUCAAAACUAUCAGACUCGAGAGUGGUAGAGGGAGGUGGAAUUCCGCGUGUAGUGGUGAAAUGCGUAGAUAUGCGGAGGAACACCAGUGGCGAAAGCGGCCUCCUGGCCCAUUUCUGACGCUCAGACACGAAAGCUAAGGUAGCAAACGG